GGAGGAGGCAGGGGAGGGGGCUGAGGGGGAGAGAGAGAGAAGAAAAACCAAGUACUGUGCAUGGCACUAUGUUUCUUCACUACUUUAUUUCCUUCAUCCUGGGAUUAUCAGAUUAGGUAUAAAUUUAGCCCUCUUUUCUUACAGAUUUUCGCAAUGUACUUCCUGAACUUUUAGUUUUAGCAAUUGAGCAACUUAUAUCAACAAAAUGAUGCAAUUAAAACAGUAAUAGCACCAUUUUGUCAGCUCUAAUAAAUUUUUUUAUACAGACAAAAAAUUAUGACUUGGAGCCCCACAAUACCAAUUAGUAAU
rnacentral:misc_RNA from 1 species